UUGGUGUUCUCAGUCAAUCUGCAACACAAACCAUGGUUUAACUCUUUAUUUUUUGCUUGUGUCAUUUGAAAGAGAUGCAAAGAAUUCACGUCAUAUGUUCAUCCAUCACCCGUUUUAAGUGUGAUAAUAUUUGCUGAAUUCAACUUUUUGGCCUGAAACCAAAAUCUAGUUUACUUACUUUGAAGCAAAUCAAACUCAUAUGUUGACAUCAACCUUACUGCUAAUUAGACCUCUUACGGUCAACAGUAUACGAGCGAGGUGAGGGAGGGAUCACACACAACUCUCGGCCCUUAGCCGUCACGACUCUUGAUGCUGCAUCUAAGCAUCAAGAAGAACUCGUCGGUUUCAUCUGAUCUCUCCAAGGCCACGCCACGCAACGCAGUCGCCGCGCGCGGCAGGUGGAAGGGGAAGAGGCCGCCGAAGGCGGCUGCGCCUCCGCGGCUUCCCUAUCUUCCUCCGUGAUCGUGUCGAGGAUCCUCGUCACCUUGUACCUCACGAUGGACACGAACUGCGGCGGAGCAGCCUCCGUCACGUACCGGCCCACUGCCUGCGCUUUGGCCGCCAUCAUCUCGUCUUCUCCGUUCGCUCAGGCUCAGCUCAGGCGAGGCCACGUCUCCUGGAUGCUCGGAGGGAGGCAUUUAUAGAGCGCUGCAGCGACAGGGAAGGAAGGAAUCAAUGUGGGGAAGAUGCAGAGGGCAGGUUUGGAUGGCCGUGGGGGGAUGCGACUGUGGGCGUCCGCUCCCUGACGAGGGGAGGCGUCGUCUUCAUCGCCGGAUCCGACUUUUUGCAUUGAAUGCGCGGGGUUGGCGUUAUGCGAGCCAAAGCGCGGUGCGUGGGGUGGAUACGUGUUCUUCCGCGACGCGAUCUACUUGUGUUCGUGGUUUCUUGUGUUGUCUGCUGUCGCUUUCGCGUGCAUGAUGAUGCCGAAGAGGUAAUAAAGUGUUCGACGAAAUGCUUUCACCGAGUUGGUGUAAGAUGUAUAUUUUUUAGUACUACUAAAAUUAAGCAACCUCAAAGCAGAU
rnacentral:lncRNA from 1 species